rnacentral:misc_RNA from 1 species
GAUGAAGAACGCAGCGAAAUGCGAUACGUAAUGUGAAUUGCAGAAUUCAGUGAAUCAUCGAGUCUUUGAACGCAAAUUGCGCCCUCUGGUAUUCCGGAGGGCAUGCCUGUCCGAGCGUCAUUGCUGCCCUCAAGCACGGCUUGUGUGUUGGGCCCCGCCCCCCGAUCCCGGGGGGCGGGCCCGAAAGGCAGCGGCGGCACCGCGUCCGGUCCUCGAGCGUAUGGGGCUUUGUCACCCGCUCUGUAGGCCCGGCCGGCGCUUGCCGAUCAACCAAACUUUUUUCCAGGUUGACCUCGGAUCAGGUAGGGAUACCCGCUGAACUUAAGCAUAUCAAUAAGCGGAGGA